rnacentral:lncRNA from 1 species
CCGCAACAUUCGAUGUGAUGGGGAAUCUUGAAAAAUUUUGGGAACUAAACAAGGCCUAAUCUACUCAAUCUCUCUAAUCUCUAAACAAGACUAGAUCUAGAAGAACUAGUCUCUCCUAAUUACUACAUCUAGAUGAACUAGAUCUAGAUGAACUAGAUCUAGAUGAACUAGAACUAGAAUAACUAGAGGGGCCCUAACCCUAAUUAUGUAGAGAAUAUAAAGCACCGGGG